UCCCUGGAGGACUAGUGGUUAAGCCACAGUGCUCUCAUCGCUGCGGUCUGAGUUCGCUUCCCAGCCAGGGAA